GAUGAACGCUGGCGGCGUGCCUAAUACAUGCAAGUCGAGCGAACGGACGAGAAGCUUGCUCCUCUGAUGUUAGCGGCGGACGGGUGAGUAACACGUGGAUAACCUACCUAUAAGACUGGGAUAACUUCGGGAAACCGGAGCUAAUACCGGAUGAUAUUUUGAACCGCAUGGUUCAAAAGUGAAAGACGGUUUUGCUGUCACUUAUAGAUGGAUCCGCGCUGCAUUAGCUAGUUGGUAAGGUAACGGCUUACCAAGGCAACGAUGCGUAGCCGACCUGAGAGGGUGAUCGGCCACACUGGAACUGAGACACGGUCCAGACUCCUACGGGAGGCAGCAGUAGGGAAUCUUCCGCAAUGGGCGAAAGCCUGACGGAGCAACGCCGCGUGAGUGAUGAAGGUCUUCGGAUCGUAAAACUCUGUUAUUAGGGAAGAACAUAUGUGUAAGUAACUGUGCACGUCUUGACGGUACCUAAUCAGAAAGCCACGGCUAACUACGUG
rnacentral:rRNA from 1 species